rnacentral:antisense_RNA from 1 species
AUGCAAGUGUUUAACAGAUGCUUCACUAUUAAAAUAUUUCCCCCCCAAGUCUCAAAUAUUGAAGAAUCUCUAACCAGGGACACCAGUCCCUACGAAGACCUUGGGCGAUUUUGAAGUGCGGGCACCUCGAUUCCCCGAAUCUGUAGUGUGGCUGGUAUCGGUGUUCCCCUGGUUUAACUAGCCUGUUUGAAGGCACAGAUCAUUCAUGGGGAAGUAUAACCGAAACCAGUCCUCUCCACCCCCUGGGGAUCUUCACUUUCCCAGUCUACAACUGCCUGUGACUCCAGAAAGACAAACUGCAGAUUGGCCAAGAUGGGGAAAUUGAGGCAGAGAAGCCAAGACAUGCGCUAAAGGUCCAUGCAGGCUAUGAAUGGAGCUGGAAUGUAAACGCAGGCCAUGUGACUCCAGAGCCCAUGUUCUUGAACCCUUAGAAAGACAGCAGCAACACACCUGGUGCAGCAGCUGCUUAGUUGGAGUGGCUGACAAGGAGAGAAUGAUUUCCAGGAAGAGCGGAACACAUA